CCUACGGGAGGCUGCAGUGGGGGAUAUUGCACAAUGGGGGGAACCCUGAUGCAGCGACGCCGCGUGGGUGAAGAAGCGCCUCGGCGCGUAAAGCCCUGUCAGCAGGGAAGAAAAUGACGGUACCUGACGAAGAAGCCCCGGCUAACUACGUGCCAGCAGCCGCGGUAAUACGUAGGGGGCAAGCGUUAUCCGGAUUUACUGGGUGUAAAGGGGGCGCAGACGGCGUGGGAAGCCGGGAGUGAAAGCCCGGGGCCCAACCCCGGGACUGCUCUUGGAACUGCGUGGCUGGAGUGCAGGAGGGGCAGGCGGAAUUCCUGGUGUAGCGGUGAAAGGCGUAGAUAUCAGGAGGAACACCGGUGGCGAAGGCGGCCUGCUGGACUGCAACUGACGUUGAGGCCCGAAAGCGUGGGGAGCAAACAGGAUGAGAUACCCUAGUAGUC
rnacentral:rRNA from 1 species